rnacentral:rRNA from 1 species
CAGUCGCCGCGGUAAUACGUAGGGGGCAAGCGUUGUCCGGAAUUAUUGGGCGUAAAGGGCUCGCAGGCGGUUUCUUGAGUCUGAUGUGAAAGCCCCCGGCUCAACCGGGGAGGGUCAUUGGAAACUGGGAAACUUGAGUGCAGAAGAGGAGAGUGGAAUUCCACGUGUAGCGGUGAAAUGCGUAGAGAUGUGGAGGAACACCAGUGGCGAAGGCGACUCUCUGGUCUGUAACUGACGCUGAGGAGCGAAAGCGUGGGGAGCGAACAGGAUUAGAUACCCGCGUAGUCCCUGUCUCUUAUAC